CAGUCGCCACGGUAAUACGAAGGGGGCUAGCGUUGUUCGGAUUUACUGGGCGUAAAGCGCACGUAGGCGGAUCGAUCAGUCAGGGGUGAAAUCCCAGAGCUCAACUCUGGAACUGCCUUUGAUACUGUCGAUCUGGAGUAUGGAAGAGGUGAGUGGAAUUCCGAGUGUAGAUGUGAAAUUCGUAGAUAUUCGGAGGAACACCAGUGGCGAAGGCGGCUCACUGGUCCAUUACUGACGCUGAGGUGCGAAAGCGUGGGGAGCAAACAGGAUUAGAUACCCCCGUAGUCCCUGUCUCUUAUAC
rnacentral:rRNA from 1 species